rnacentral:rRNA from 1 species
UACGAAGGGGGGCUAGCGUUGCUCGGAAUCACUGGGCGUAAAGCGCACGUAGGCGGCUUCUUAAGUCAGGGGGUGAAAUCCUGGAGCUCAACUCCAGAACUGCCUUUGAUACUGAGAAGCUUGAGUCUGGGAGAGGUGAGUGGAACUGCGAGUGUAGAGGUGAAAUUCGUAGAUAUUCGCAAGAACACCAGUGGCGAAGGCGGCUCACUGGCCCGAUACUGACGCUGAGGUGCGAAAGCGUGGGGAGCAAACAGG